UACGUAGGGGGCAAGCGUUGUCCGGAUUUACUGGGCGUAAAGAGCGCGCAGGCGGUCGUUCAAGUCGAGUGUGAAAGCCCCCGGCUCAACUGGGGAGGGUCACUUGAUACUGAUCGACUCGAAGGCAGGAGAGGGAAGCGGAAUUCCCGGUGUAGUGGUGAAAUGCGUAGAUAUCGGGAGGAACACCAGUGGCGAAGGCGGCUUCCUGGCCUGUUCUUGACGCUGAGGCGCGAAAGCUAGGGGAGCAAACGGG
rnacentral:rRNA from 1 species